UACGAAGGGGGCUAGCGUUGUUCGGAUUUACUGGGCGUAAAGCGCAUGUAGGCGGGUCGUUAAGUUGGGGGUGAAAUCCCGAGGCUCAACCUCGGAACUGCCUUCAAAACUGGCGACCUGGAGCAAGAUAGAGGCAAGUGGAAUUGCGAGUGUAGAGGUGAAAUUCGUAGAUAUUCGCAGGAACACCAGUGGCGAAGGCGACUUGCUGGAUCUUUGCUGACGCUGAGAUGCGAAAGCGUGGGGAGCAAACAGG
rnacentral:rRNA from 1 species